AGAGCGGAGCCGGAAGAGGGCGGGACGAACCGGAAGAAGGUGAAAUGCUUUCGGUAGGCACUCCACGGCUGUGAAGAUGGCGGUGGCUGCGUGGCUUCAGGUGCUGCCUGUCAUUCUUCUUCUCCUGGGGGCUCAGACGUCCCCAUUGUCGCUUUUCAGUGUAGGACCGGCACCCGUCGCUGCUGCCGACCGAUCCAAGUGGCACAUUCCGAUACCGUCGGGGAAAAAUUAUUUUAGUUUUGGAAAGAUCCUCUUCAGAAAUACCACUAUCUUCCUGAAAUUUGAUGGAGAACCUUGUGAUGUAUCUUUGAAUAUAACCUGGUAUCUGAAAAGUGCUGACUGUUACAAUGAAAUCUACAACUUCAAGGCAGAAGAAGUGGAAACAUACUUGGAAAACCUUAAGGAAAAAAAAGGCUUGUCUGGGAAAUAUCAAACAUCAUCAAAAUUGUUCCAAAACUGCAGUGAACUCUUUAAAACACAGAGUUUUUCUGGGGAUUUCGUGCAUCGAUUGCCUCUUUUAGGAGAAAAACAGGAGGCCAAGGAGAAUGGAACAAAUCUUACCUUUACUGGAGACAAAACUGUAAUGCAUGAGCCCUUGAAAACUUGGCAAGAUGCACCAUACAUUUUUAUUGUACAUGUUGGCAUUUCGCCCUCCAAAGAAUCAUCAAAAGAAAAUUCACUAAGUAAUCUUUUUACCAUGACUGUUGAAGUGAAAGGUCCCUAUGAAUACCUCACGCUUGAAGAAUAUCCAUUGAUGAUUUUUUUCAUGGUGAUGUGUAUUGUGUAUGUCCUAUUUGGUGUUCUGUGGCUGGCAUGGUCUGCUUGCUAUUGGAGAGAUCUCCUGAGAAUUCAGUUUUGGAUUGGUGCUGUCAUCUUCCUGGGAAUGCUUGAGAAAGCUGUCUUCUAUGCAGAAUUUCAGAACAUCCGAUACAAAGGAGAAUCUGUCCAAGGUGCCCUGAUCCUUGCAGAGCUGCUUUCAGCAGUUAAACGCUCACUGGCUCGAACGCUGGUCAUCAUAGUCAGUCUGGGAUAUGGCAUAGUCAAGCCUCGCCUUGGAGUCACUCUUCACAAGGUUGUGGUAGCAGGAGCCCUUUAUCUUUUGUUCUCUGGCAUGGAAGGGGUCCUCAGAGUUACUGGGGCCCAGACUGAUCUUGCUUCCUUGGCCUUUAUCCCCUUGGCUUUCCUAGACACUGCCCUGUGCUGGUGGAUAUUUAUUAGCCUGACUCAAACAAUGAAGCUAUUAAAACUUCGGAGGAACAUUGUGAAACUCUCUUUGUACCGACAUUUCACCAACACACUUAUCUUGGCAGUGGCAGCAUCUAUUGUGUUUAUCAUCUGGACAACCAUGAAGUUCAGGAUAGUGACUUGUCAGUCGGAUUGGCGGGAGCUGUGGGUAGACGAUGCCAUCUGGCGGUUGCUGUUCUCCAUGAUCCUCUUUGUCAUCAUGGUUCUCUGGCGACCAUCUGCAAACAACCAGAGGUUUGCCUUUUCACCAUUGUCUGAGGAAGAGGAGGAGGAUGAACAAAAGGAACCUAUGCUGAAGGAAAGCUUUGAAGGAAUGAAAAUGAGAAGUACCAAACAAGAACCAAAUGGAAAUAGUAAAUUAAACAAAGCACAGGAAGAUGAUUUAAAGUGGGUAGAAGAGAAUGUUCCUUCAUCUGUGACAGAUGUAGCACUUCCAGCCCUUCUGGAUUCGGAUGAGAACUGAAAAAGAACUUCAAUGAAUUACAAGAGAAACCAAUUAAAUAAAGGACUAGGAAUCAGAACAGCAUCAGACUCUCUUCAACAAUGUUGGAAGCUAGAAGAUAAUAGAACAAUGUCUUUGAAUUCUGAGAAAAAUUAUUUUCAAACUAGAAUUCUGCACUCAACUAUCAAUAUAAGGGAACGAAUGAUCACGCACUUUGAAAGGUCCAAAAUGGAGUAAAGAGUGGGAAGAUUUGCAGCUGAAGAUGGCUAGUAUCUGGGAAGAGAUCAGCUUCUGUGUUAGUCUUUACACUGCUCCAUGGGAUUAAAGGAGGCAAUGACAUCCUGAUCUGUUCCUUGAUCUUCGUGCGUUGGAGCUGGCGAGAGGUGUUGGAACAAGGAGAACAUUCUAUUGAAAACAAGGUCAUAGGAUGAGAAAAAUCUACAAGUUUUUUAUUUGCAGAAUUGAUGCCCCUUUCCCGCCCACACCCUGACAUGGAUGUUUAUGCAACUUGUGUAUGUUGUUCCUAAACCUUCUAUAAUGUUUAAAUUGUUUAAUCUGUCAAACUAAAAAAUUUAACAUCUUCUGAAGAACUGUGACAUCAACACCAUAAUAAGUAAUAUCCAGGAGCAACUGCCUGUAAUUUUUAUUUAUUUAGGGAGUUACAUAGGUGAUGGGGGAAAUUGUUAAUUAUCUUUGCAUUUCCUGGGAAGCCAAGGUUAAAUCUUGCAGAGGUAGUUUUGAGAAAAGAGUCCUUCUGCGUUAAGGAGCCAUGGUUCUAACAAUGAUUAAAACAACCAAAAAAAAAGAAAGAAAGAAAGAGACUGUUACAGUGUGAUUUAGAUCAUUUGAAAAAGCAAAAUCAAGUGCAAUUUUGUUUACAAAUGGUGUAUAUUAAAGAUUUUUCUAUUUCAGAUGUACUUUAGAGAGAAAUAUUAGCUUAACUCUUUUGACAUCUGCUAUUGUGACACAUCCCAUUGCUGGCAAUGUGGUGCACACUCCAGAACUUUUAACUACUGUUUUGUAAGCCUUCAAGGGCAGCAUUGCAGAGUCCUAGGCAAUGCUUUGCUUGCCUUCAUGCCUUUUACUGGGUGUUGCACUAGAUGCAGAAAGGCACUCCGUCGUAAGUGCAUGUGAGUGAGCACCCUGUUAAAGGGAUUAUAAUGCUUCAGAAGCAGGAGCUAAUACAAAGGAAACAGGUCCUUCUGGCUUAAACAGUUUUUUCUGCAUGAAAUAGUGUGGAGGCCCUGGACUGCUGCUCAUUCUUUAGGAUUGACUGUUCUUGUAUCUGGUGUUGGUUUAGGGAUGGUUUAUAAGAAACAUCACAAGGUGAUGGGAUUCAUUUGAAGCACUAUAUUUGUUUGAAUGAUUUUGUCCAAUUUUGCCUUCCCAAGAUUUUUUGUUCUACAUAUAGAAAGUUCAUGCCACUUUUUAAUAUUAAAAAAUUUUAACAAAA